GACGAACGCUGGCGGUGUGCUUCACACAUGCAAGUCGAACGAGGUAGCAAUACCUAGUGGCGGACGGGUGAGUAACGCGUGGGAAUCUGCCUUUAGAUGGGGGGAUAACGGGUCGAAAGACUCGCUAAUACCGCAUAUGACGAAAGUUGAAAGGGUAAUCCGUCUAAAGAUGAGCCCGCGUCCGAUUAGCUAGUUGGUGAGGUAACGGCCCACAAGGCGACGAUCAGUAGCCGACCUGAGAGGGUGAUCGGCCACAUUGGGACUGAGACACGGCCCAAACUCCUACGGGAGGCAGCAGUGGGGAAUAUUGGGCAAUGGGGGAAACCCUGACCCAGCAACGCCGCGUGAGGGAAGAAGGUUUUCGGAUCGUAAACCUCUGUCCUUGGUGAAGAGAAGAGGACGGUAACCAGGGAGGAAGCCCCGGCUAACUACGUGCCAGCAGCCGCGGUAAGCUAGUCUACG
rnacentral:rRNA from 1 species